GGGUUGUGAGGUUAAGCGACUAAGCGUACACGGUGGAUGCCCUGGCAGUCAGAGGCGAUGAAGGACGUGCUAAUCUGCGAUAAGCGUCGGUAAGGUGAUAUGAACCGUUAUAACCGGCGAUUUCCGAAUGGGGAAACCCAGUGUGUUUCGACACACUAUCAUUAACUGAAUCCAUAGGUUAAUGAGGCGAACCGGGGGAACUGAAACAUCUAAGUACCCCGAGGAAAAGAAAUCAACCGAGAUUCCCCCAGUAGCGGCGAGCGAACGGGGAGCAGCCCAGAGCCUGAAUCAGUGUGUGUGUUAGUGGAAGCGUCUGGAAAGGCGCGCGAUACAGGGUGACAGCCCCGUACACAAAAAUGCACAUACUGUGAGCUCGAUGAGUAGGGCGGGACACGUGGUAUCCUGUCUGAAUAUGGGGGGACCAUCCUCCAAGGCUAAAUACUCCUGACUGACCGAUAGUGAACCAGUACCGUGAGGGAAAGGCGAAAAGAACCCCGGCGAGGGGAGUGAAAAAGAACCUGAAACCGUGUACGUACAAGCAGUGGGAGCACGCUUAGGCGUGUGACUGCGUACCUUUUGUAUAAUGGGUCAGCGACUUAUAUUCUGUAGCAAGGUUAACCGAAUAGGGGAGCCGAAGGGAAACCGAGUCUUAACUGGGCGUUAAGUUGCAGGGUAUAGACCCGAAACCCGGUGAUCUAGCCAUGGGCAGGUUGAAGGUUGGGUAACACUAACUGGAGGACCGAACCGACUAAUGUUGAAAAAUUAGCGGAUGACUUGUGGCUGGGGGUGAAAGGCCAAUCAAACCGGGAGAUAGCUGGUUCUCCCCGAAAGCUAUUUAGGUAGCGCCUCGUGAAUUCAUCUCCGGGGGUAGAGCACUGUUUCGGCAAGGGGGUCAUCCCGACUUACCAACCCGAUGCAAACUGCGAAUACCGGAGAAUGUUAUCACGGGAGACACACGGCGGGUGCUAACGUCCGUCGUGAAGAGGGAAACAACCCAGACCGCCAGCUAAGGUCCCAAAGUCAUGGUUAAGUGGGAAACGAUGUGGGAAGGCCCAGACAGCCAGGAUGUUGGCUUAGAAGCAGCCAUCAUUUAAAGAAAGCGUAAUAGCUCACUGGUCGAGUCGGCCUGCGCGGAAGAUGUAACGGGGCUAAACCAUGCACCGAAGCUGCGGCAGCGACGCUUAUGCGUUGUUGGGUAGGGGAGCGUUCUGUAAGCCUGCGAAGGUGUGCUGUGAGGCAUGCUGGAGGUAUCAGAAGUGCGAAUGCUGACAUAAGUAACGAUAAAGCGGGUGAAAAGCCCGCUCGCCGGAAGACCAAGGGUUCCUGUCCAACGUUAAUCGGGGCAGGGUGAGUCGACCCCUAAGGCGAGGCCGAAAGGCGUAGUCGAUGGGAAACAGGUUAAUAUUCCUGUACUUGGUGUUACUGCGAAGGGGGGACGGAGAAGGCUAUGUUGGCCGGGCGACGGUUGUCCCGGUUUAAGCGUGUAGGCUGGUUUUCCAGGCAAAUCCGGAAAAUCAAGGCUGAGGCGUGAUGACGAGGCACUACGGUGCUGAAGCAACAAAUGCCCUGCUUCCAGGAAAAGCCUCUAAGCAUCAGGUAACAUCAAAUCGUACCCCAAACCGACACAGGUGGUCAGGUAGAGAAUACCAAGGCGCUUGAGAGAACUCGGGUGAAGGAACUAGGCAAAAUGGUGCCGUAACUUCGGGAGAAGGCACGCUGAUAUGUAGGUGAAGUCCCUCGCGGAUGGAGCUGAAAUCAGUCGAAGAUACCAGCUGGCUGCAACUGUUUAUUAAAAACACAGCACUGUGCAAACACGAAAGUGGACGUAUACGGUGUGACGCCUGCCCGGUGCCGGAAGGUUAAUUGAUGGGGUCAGCGCAAGCGAAGCUCUUGAUCGAAGCCCCGGUAAACGGCGGCCGUAACUAUAACGGUCCUAAGGUAGCGAAAUUCCUUGUCGGGUAAGUUCCGACCUGCACGAAUGGCGUAAUGAUGGCCAGGCUGUCUCCACCCGAGACUCAGUGAAAUUGAACUCGCUGUGAAGAUGCAGUGUACCCGCGGCAAGACGGAAAGACCCCGUGAACCUUUACUAUAGCUUGACACUGAACAUUGAGCCUUGAUGUGUAGGAUAGGUGGGAGGCUUUGAAGUGUGGACGCCAGUCUGCAUGGAGCCGACCUUGAAAUACCACCCUUUAAUGUUUGAUGUUCUAACGUUGACCCGUGAUCCGGGUUGCGGACAGUGUCUGGUGGGUAGUUUGACUGGGGCGGUCUCCUCCUAAAGAGUAACGGAGGAGCACGAAGGUUGGCUAAUCCUGGUCGGACAUCAGGAGGUUAGUGCAAUGGCAUAAGCCAGCUUGACUGCGAGCGUGACGGCGCGAGCAGGUGCGAAAGCAGGUCAUAGUGAUCCGGUGGUUCUGAAUGGAAGGGCCAUCGCUCAACGGAUAAAAGGUACUCCGGGGAUAACAGGCUGAUACCGCCCAAGAGUUCAUAUCGACGGCGGUGUUUGGCACCUCGAUGUCGGCUCAUCACAUCCUGGGGCUGAAGUAGGUCCCAAGGGUAUGGCUGUUCGCCAUUUAAAGUGGUACGCGAGCUGGGUUUAGAACGUCGUGAGACAGUUCGGUCCCUAUCUGCCGUGGGCGCUGGAGAAUUGAGGGGGGCUGCUCCUAGUACGAGAGGACCGGAGUGGACGCAUCACUGGUGUUCGGGUUGUCAUGCCAAUGGCACUGCCCGGUAGCUAAAUGCGGAAGAGAUAAGUGCUGAAAGCAUCUAAGCACGAAACUUGCCCCGAGAUGAGUUCUCCCUGAC
rnacentral:rRNA from 1 species